rnacentral:rRNA from 1 species
UGGGGAAUAUUGCACAAUGGGCGCAAGCCUGAUGCAGCAACGCCGCGUGAGGGACGACGGCCUUCGGGUUGUAAACCUCUUUUAGUAGGGAAGAAGCGAAAGUGACGGUACCUGCAGAAAAAGCACCGGCUAACUACGUGCCAGCAGCCGCGGUAAUACGUAGGGUGCGAGCGUUGUCCGGAAUUAUUGGGCGUAAAGAGCUCGUAGGCGGUCUGUCGCGUCUGCUGUGAAAAACCCGAGGCUCAACCUCGGGCCUGCAGUGGGUACGGGCAGACUAGAGUGCGGUAGGGGAGAAUGGAAUUCCUGGUGUAGCGGUGGAAUGCGCAGAUAUCAGGAGGAACACCGAUGGCGAAGGCAGUUCUCUGGGCCGUAACUGACGCUGAGGAGCGAAAGCGUGGGGAGCGAACAGGAUUAGAUACCUCGUGGUAGUCCACGCCGUAAAACGUUGGGCGCUAGAUGUGGGGCACCAUUCCACGGUUUCCGUGUCGCAGCUAACGCAUUAAGCGCCCCGCCUGGGGAGUACGGCCGCAAGGCUAAAACUGCAAAUGAAUUGACGGGGUCAUAGCUG